UACGUAGGGUGCAAGCGUUAAUCGGAAUUACUGGGCGUAAAGCGUGCGCAGGCGGCUUUGCAAGACAGAUGUGAAAUGCCCGGGCUUAACCUGGGAACUGCAUUUGUGACUGCAUGGCUAGAGUUUGGCAGAGGGGGGUAGAAUUCCACGUGUAGCAGUGAAAUGCGUAGAUAUGUGGAGGAACACCGAUGGCGAAGGCAGCCCCCUGGGUCAAGACUGACGCUCAUGCACGAAAGCGUGGGGAGUGAAACAGG
rnacentral:rRNA from 1 species